GGACCCUACUGCUAUCGGGAUGGGACUAAGACAUGUUAGUCGUGCGCCUCCUAGCCAUGUUGGAGGCGCGGCGCACAGCUCAGUAACACGUGGCUAACUUACCCUUUGGACAGAAAUAACCCCGGGAAACUGGGGACAAUUUCUGAUAGGUGAAGGCUCCUGGAAUGGACUUUCGCUCAAAGGACGUUCAAGCCAUGCUUUUGGACGUCGCCCAAGGAUUGGGCCGCGGCCGAUCAGGUUGUUGGUGAGGUAAUGGCUCACCAAGCCUUUGACCGGUACGGGCCGUGAGAGCGGUAGCCCGGAGAUGGGUACUGAGACAAGAACCCAGGCCCUACGGGGCGCAGCAGUCGCGAAACCUUCACAAUAAGCGAAAGCUUGAUGGGGCUAUCCCGAGUGCCAUCUGCUGAGGAUGGCUUUUACCCAGUGUAGAUAGCUGGGGGAAUAAGGAGAGGGCAAGUCUGGUGUCAGCCGCCGCGGUAAUACCAGCUCUCCGAGUGGUGGGGAUGC
rnacentral:rRNA from 1 species